AGAGGUUGGAGACCUUCUAAAGGAAAGAAGUCUACUUAGCUCACAGUCCCAAUGGUUUUGGAGUGUGGUAGCAGCCUCUGUGUGGCUCUGUGAGACCUCAGGUGGGUGGCAUUAUGGUGGCAGUGGUGUGAGAGGGAGAUUGCAUGGGGAGACAGGAAGCCAGUGGGGAGCCUGGGCUUGCUCCUUCCUGCCAGCCCUCUCAAGAGCUCACCAGGGGAACUCCACCCUUCCAUCCCUCCAAGGGCAGUGCCUUCGAUGACUUAUUACAUCUCCACCCCUGCCACCGCCACCCUGGGGACCUAUGGAAACACAUAGACUGGCAGUGGUGAACCUAUGGCAUGUGUGCAGCAGCAAGCUGUGUGUAUCACUGAAAGUUCUAGAAAGUUUGUCAUCACUGUGCUAGACCAUGUCCCGAGCACCAAACUUCCAGGACCCCAUGGCUGUACAUUGCUACUCCUGCAGCCUGAGCUCAUGGCCCUGCAGCUGACUCCCCGGAGCCCCAGCAGUAUCCUCCUGGGCUGGCUGGCUCAACAUUGGACCUGCCUGUGGCUCAUGCAUGUGGUGCCUGACUGCUUCUCCUCUUUGGGACCUGUCCCUUCCCAGGGUCCUUCUGGGCCCGGUUCCAGGUCAGUGGUGGUCCCCACAGUCUCAGCCAAACUCUUAAUUUAUCUGCACCUUCCUUCCUCACAGGUCCUGUGGGCACCAGUGCUGGACUCUAUGUCUCAGGGAUUUGGAGAGAGAGACUUGCUGGGGCCUGAGGCUAUUCUAGCGUCCAAGAGUGCACGGAGGCUCAGGCUGCCUCUCGGGGCUGGUGAUGUGUGA
rnacentral:lncRNA from 1 species